rnacentral:tRNA from 1 species
GUAGGGAUGGCUCAGUGGUAAAGAGCACUUGUUGCUCUUGCAGAGGACCCGGGUUCAAUUCCCAGCACCUACA